UUGCCUCCUGUCCCUGUGAAUACAGCUGCUUUGCCUGGAUCAGCCUCCAACCUCACUCUGGGCUAGGCCACCUUCUUCCUAGGAUUCAGCUCAAAGUUGGCGCCUCAUGUUUUCCUUCCUCCACGCCUUCAUUUGCACACCAUUCUGGUCCCCUGCAGGGCCUCAUUCUCCUCCCCCAACAUCACUGUCUCUUGUCUGUUGAAGCCUACCCUUUAAGAUGCAGUUCAAAAACCACCUCUCCUUCAGGCCAAUCCUUUUCAAUCUCCCAAUCAGAUAUAACUUCUUCUGAAUCCUCCAAAAGCACAGUACUGAUAACCUUCAAUCAUAUAUGGCUUUGUCUGAAGGAUACUGGGGGACAAACAGCUGUCUCUGUUGUACCUGACAUUCUAGAAUGUCAUGGUUCUUUGUUGCAUGUAAUACAAGUUGGUGCUGGUUAUAAGCUUCUGAACAAUGAUGAGGAUGGUGGCAUUUGACAUUCGUUUACAGAGGAUGAAACUGAGGCACAGAGAAGUCAAGCGUCUUGUGCAGGGCCAGGAUUGGGACCCACGCAGCCUGCUCCAGAGCCGGGCUCUGACCCUCCACAAGAGCCAUCACUAAAGUUCCACUUACCGCUGCACCUUCAAUCUCUUCCUCUCUCCAUCCCUCCCACAUGUUCACAGACAAAAUCUUCUUCCUUAUUUAAUAAAACAAUAUAAUGACCAGCCUGGCA
rnacentral:lncRNA from 1 species